rnacentral:rRNA from 1 species
UACGGAGGGUGCAAGCGUUAUCCGGAUUCACUGGGUUUAAAGGGUGCGUAGGUGGAUCGGUAAGUCCGUGGUGAAAUCCCCGAGCUUAACUCGGGAACUGCCGUGGAUACUAUCGAUCUUGAAUACUGUGGAGGUAAGCGGAAUAUGUCAUGUAGCGGUGAAAUGCUUAGAUAUGACAUAGAACACCGAUAGCGAAGGCAGCUUGCUGCACAGUUAUUGACACUGAGGCACGAAAGCGUGGGGAGCAAACAGG